rnacentral:rRNA from 1 species
GUGCAAGCGUUACUCGGAAUCACUGGGCGUAAAGGGCGCGUAGGCGGAUUAUCAAGUCUCUUGUGAAAUCUAAUGGCUUAACCAUUAAACUGCUUGGGAAACUGAUAGUCUAGAGUGAGGGAGAGGCAGAUGGAAUUGGUGGUGUAGGGGUAAAAUCCGUAGAUAUCACCAAGAAUACCCAUUGCGAAGGCGAUCUGCUGGAACUCAACUGACGCUAAGGCGCGAAAGCGUGGGGAGCAAACAGGAUUAGAUACCCUGGUAGUCCACGCCCUAAACGAUGUACACUAGUUGUUGGGAUGCUAGUCAUCUCAGUAAUGCAGCUAACGCAUUAAGUGUACCGCCUGGGGAGUACGGUCGCAAGAUUAAAACUCAAAGGAAUAGACGGGGACCCGCACAAGCGGUGGAGCAUGUGGUUUAAUUCGAAGAUACGCGAAGAACCUUACCUGGGCUUGAUAUCCUAAGAACCUUAUAGAGAUAUGAGGGUGCUAGCUUGCUAGAACUUAGAGACAGGUGCUGCACGGCUGUCGUCAGCUCGUGUCGUGAGAUGUUGGGUUAAGUCCCGCAACGAGCGCAACCCACGUAUUUAGUUGCUAACGGUUCGGCCGAGCACUCUAAAUAGACUGCCUUCGUAAGGAGGAGGAAGGUGUGGACGACGUCAAGUCAUCAUGGCCCUUAUGCCCAGGGCGACACACGUGCUACAAUGGCAUAUACAAUGAGACGCAAUACCGCGAGGUGGAGCAAAUCUAUAAAAUAUGUCCCAGUUCGGAUUGUUCUCUGCAACUCGAGAGCAUGAAGCCGGAAUCGCUAGUAAUCGU